rnacentral:lncRNA from 1 species
AUAAGUCUCCUCCCGAGUGACCUUCCCGGCAGCCCUUGCUGGCUCUGCCCCAACCAAACAAAGAGGGCAGGAGCUUUUCAAACAGCAGCCUCCCAAAAAGUUGGCUGCUGCAGAGCUAGGCUCUGUUGGGACCUUUGCUAAGGCAGGCCGCCGGAGGAUGCAGCAGCUGCAGCAAGCCGGUGCCUUCGCCUGGAAGGAUCCUGGCAGUCAUCUCUAGUCCCCUGGGUGUGAGGAGGCUGGAUAAAGGCUGCAGGAGUGGAUCACUGACUUUCCCAGCAUUACUCCAAGAGGGAAAAGUCCCUGCAAUGAACCGGAGCCUGCAGUUGCAGGUGACUUGGGCAGGUUUUAAGUUUCCUGGUCUACAAGGAGUUGUUAAGCAGGUCGAUGUUUGAAUAAGGUGUGGCACAGUGCAGUCUACAAUCUCAAAGGGCAGGCUCUAAGGCACUGACUGUUUCCAAGGAGUAGCCUGCAAAGCUGGAGUCCCUGAUUCUGCUAACUGCAAUGUUACAAGCCACCAAAGAGAUGUGAAGCUCUGGGGAGGACCUGCUUGCUUCCAGGGACCUUACCAGCCUUGCAUGAUGAACUUCUGCUGUUUCCUGAGACUUGCACCGAGCUCCCUGAGAUCCUGAGCAGAGCCUGCUGCUGCUCUGGAUCCUAGCGUGGCUGCUUGGCCAGAGCAGGACACAUCUGCAUUGGGCAUGAACACAAACAACCACAGAAAUAUGAAUUAGAGGUGGCCCAUGCACACAGCAGGACUUGCAUUGCUCUGAGUUUUGAAACAAGAGGAGGCAACUGCUUUUUGUGUAUUACCUAAGCCACCAUUGGAAAUAAUAGCCAGCAAAUUAGCAAUCAGUGUAGCCAUCCUGGUCCUUUGCAUACACAUGAUGUUCUUUUCCUUAUCACAGCAAAAGGAGGAACGCUCAUUGUUCACACCUGAGAUGAUAGUGACAGCCUUUACCUGAAAUGAUGGAGCCUGGCUGCCUUGGCCAAUUGCAUUUCCAAAUGUUGUGUAGCCACUCAAGGAGUUUCUAACAAUGACUUCUAGGUGACUCAAAAAUGUUUUUUGAGUGGAUCUGGAGUAUGUUUUCCUUCCUCCAGCAACCCAUCUACCAUUUUUCAGAAGGGAAGCAAACCCCAGCCAUCUGAUGCCUUCUCCCUGCUCUAGCCCAGCUCUCCCUCUCUCUGCAUCACUGGUACACUGAUGGCAGCAGGGAACUGAUGUCUGGUUUGGGACGUCAGGUAGAACAGAGCUUGUUCCUGCCCUCUGUGCCCUUGCUGGACCAGGGGUCUUGGCCAGACCUUCUGUUCUGAAGUGUUCCCUCAUGAAGUUCCUGCUUGAGUGAGGGAUGUGUUUUUUGGCCAUCCCAAUUGCUUCCAGUCCCAGCUGAAAGCACUGC